ACAUAGGAUGUCAUGAGCACUGGAUGUUGUAUAAGACUGAUGAAUCAUUGAACUCUGACUCUGAAACUCAUAAUACACUAUAUGUGAAUUGAUUGAAUUUAAACAAACAAAAUAAAAAUUGGG